GACAAAGUGAGGGGAGGGAGGGAGGGACCGUCGGGGAACACCGCGCUGAGCUGGAAGACCCUCCAAAGCGGGUCCGAGCGCCCGGAUCUCCAGGCCCCGCAGCUCGCCAGGGAGGCGCCUGGCACCAGCCGGGCCGGGUCCCGCAGCCUGCGAGGCUGGAAGGCGCGUUCCAGGAGGCGGGCCCCGUCCGCCGCUGCCGCUUCCGGUUGGCCCCGGGGCCGCUCCGGCGGUUGAUUGACGGCUGGCCCGGAUCCUGAGCAGCAGGGCGCGCCUCCUUUCCCCAGGCCUGUCCGCGGGCUGCCAGGGGACGAGCCGGGUGAGCACCCGGAGGAGAGGCAGCCCUGCCCUGAGCAGCGGCGGCCCCUGCCCCUUCCACCGCUGUGCUCGUCCGGCCUGCGCAGGGGAUGACCUCUGAGGGUCGCAGAGGCGAGAGCCACCGUCCCAGCCAGCCGCGCGUUCAGUCGCUGUUGGCCUGACAGUCCGGCCUGCGAGCUGCCUUGGCUUGAGCAGAGCGACGGGAGUUCCGGCUGUAAUCCCAGCCCUUGGGAACUUGAAGGAGACUCUAGUCUGGGACCCGUCUGAGCCGCACGUCCAGUUGGAGAUGUGAUGUGUCAGCUUCCUGGUCCGGCCAACAUGAACACCGUCUCCCCUCUGGGAGAGAAUCUUAUCCCUCGGAACAAAAAGCCCGAAUAAAUGUUUUCUUCUAUAA